AAAACUGUGUUGCUAUGAGCGGAGAGGUUUCACAAACAAAUUGUGCAUGUCGCAAAACACAAAUUUGAUCGUCCCAGUCCCGUGUUUGCAGUAAAUGAGGAAUUGCCUCAGCGGCUGCAGGGCUGAGUGAGCGCCGCCAUCUUUAUUCGGGACAACGAUUCACUGGACACGUGCGCGGCCGCCAUCUUUGUAGGGGGCAUGGUGCAGCCAGGCGCAUGUGCAGCCUCUCUCUGGUACAGAGACAUUGUGAUGACAGCAGCCAAUCCUGCUCUGAUUCACCUCUGGGCUCCCUCAGGACCACUUUGUCAAUGUCUAGCUUCCUCAGUCUCCAACCAUGGGGAUACCAGUGAUUAAUACCAAAACCCUGUUGCCUGUGGAAAGGGUGAUGUUUGACUUUAUUAUACAGCUGCAGUUUGUGUGGUGAAGGUGCUCCCACAAUGUGGUUGGGAUCUGCUGCUGCAAACACCACCUCUGGAUUUCGCUGUGCAUACCAUUAAGCCUGGCCAUUGGGUUUUAAUCAAGCACUGGCAGCAGCGCACUCUCGAACCUGUGUGGGACGGUCCGUACCUGGUGUUGCUUACUACUGAAACCGCUAUCCGCACGGCAGAGAAAGGGUGGACUCACAACACGCGAGUCAAAGGUCCGGUUCGCUGCCCAGAUGAGAAAAAGAUCUGGACUGUCGAACCAGUGCGGGAUCCACUUAAACUCAAACUGAAGAAAAUUUGAACUGACUGUAUUGUGGGGACGUGAGUGCAAGGACUAUUUCUUCAGAAUUAUCCCAGUGAUUAAUGCCAAAGCCCUGUUGCCUGUGGAGAGGGUGAUGUUUGACUUCCUUGUACAGCUGCAGUUUGUGUGGUGAAGGUGCUCCCACAAUGUCGCUGGGUGGACAUUCAGAUGGUAACCUCAGUAUUUGUAACACCAAACUCUGACAGAAUUACUCAAUUCAUCAGGACCUGGAUAUUUGCAUUUAGUUCGAAUCCCCCUUACCUGCAACACUUUGGACUGAGAGAGGAAACCAGAGCAUCCAGAGGAAGGCCACCGCAGACACACACUUGGAGAAUGGUACUGAAAGGGUGGAUUUGUGGAUGAGAAAUUCAAAUUGAGCUUUCUGUUCAGACCCGAUGGUUACUGGAUCCGUGCCGAUCUGAAUAUCAUUGGCCUUCUCAUCUGGAAGGAAAGGGUGCUGGAUGGUGAAGAUUUACAGACUGAAAUCUCAAACUCGUGCAGAUUGUGAUUAAGUUAACCAGUGUUUGAAGAACCAAGGAUAGAGAAUCACUCAGCCAAAAUCCUGCACACUCUCCCUCGCAGCAUUGUCGGUCUCUCUGCGCCACAUAGGCUGUGAAUGGUUCAAGACAGCAGCUCACUCCCAUCUUCUCAAGGGUAACUAGAGAUGGGGAAUAAAUGCUGGCUGAGCCAGUGAUGCCCAUAUCCUGGAAAUGGUUUCUGUCUCUAGUUGCUGAAACCCAGUUGAUGUUACUGCAGGAUGAUGAGGGACGCUGAGUGCAUCUUCCAGGAGGCAGCACCAUCACAUUACCCCUGCCUACACCCACACAGUAACACCGCAACAUCACUGGAACAAAAGGCAGUGAAACCAAAGGAGGACUUAGAUAUAGUUCUUCGAGGUAAAGUCAUGAAAGGGGAUUGGAGCACAGCAGGAACAGAAGACUGAGCUGGAUGGUCAGCUGUUUCCCAUUGAAUGGUGGAGCAGGAUCGAAAGGCCGAAUGGCCUCCUGCUGCUAUCUCCCAGGAAUGACAGGAUGUGUUACGUUAUUAUGGGAAACAGGAACAAGUGAAGGUGGUGCCUCUGAGAUGCGAGACCUGAAAGCCAAAGAGCCAGGUGGUAGUUACAGUGGGGGAGGUACCGAGUCUCCCACUAUCCUCAGAAGGCAGUGAGGAUGGUGACACUGACUGGGACGGGUUAGAUGACAAAGCGCCCACGUAUGGACAGAGAGAGGACAAUAGGUGGGUUGACCCACCGCCCUGUAAGGCCCAGAAGGCCAUGUCUGUGGCACCGCUGUGCAUCAAAGCUCAAACUUGGACAGACGGGAGGGGGGCAAGAAAGGGAACUGACAGAAACCAAACUGAACCGUUUACCCGGCUGAACGACAGAUGUUGGUGAAUGAUCACCCAGCCUGAUAGAGAAAUGGUAAUAAUGGGCCUUAUUGGGUGAAUACAGAUAAAUUAGUUGAGAUACAGUCUCACCGAUGAUGGUGUCAGGCCAAGAUGCCACGAUGUGUACAGCAGAACAUGUCUCUGCAAUGAGAUGGUGAGGGUGUGAGCUGCUUCCCUCCCAGUGCACAGCCGAUCAGUGGCUCCAGGCAUUUACAGAUAUUACAGGGACACACUGGGGAGGGGACAGGCUGAAUGGGCUAAAAUAACCUUGGUGACUCAGGGACCCAAGGGUAAUAUCGAGGAUCAUACAGAGAGGAAACCUAAGGUGUGUAAGGACCACUGGGGAUUACCAACCCCCAACCUGUGAUGAUGAAAUAGGUUGAUGUGUUUAAAGAUAACAUGGGACCAUAUUUAACUGGAAUUAUAAACAUGGGACUCCCAGUGGGAGAUAAUUCUAACCACCUUCUGAAUUGGACCAUGAGAGCUGAGGCAAACUCAGAAACACAGGGGAAUAGCUGCAGUACAGGGAGGGUAACCAGACCCACAAUGUUACAAGGGAAGCAGGAAAGGGUACAUAGCCAAGGAACGUAGGCAGGGAGAGGGAGGUAGAUGUUCACAUUGUGUGUGCACCUGUGUUCAUGUAGGCACAUGAAUAUUCAUUGAUGCUGUGCUUGGGAACCAGCAGAACAUAAUAUUAAUACAGGAGCAUCUAUAUCAGUUACCGAUACAGAUUUGCCCCUCACUCCUCAAUUACUAAAAUGAGAGCAGUUGGAGAGGGAAUCGAGGAAGCUGGAUGAAAUAAACCUGUCCCGAUGCAGAUCAUGGAUAUGGCAAAAUAUAUUCAGAUAUGGGAGUGUGAAACUGAGGAAAGGACCAUUCUGGGAGUUGCCAUUUUAGAACCGUUCCGAACAACUAUUGAUGUAGAGACACAAACUGUAAUAUGGGAACAACCUGGCCAGGCCCGGGACAGGAAGCAAAGGAGAGGCGACAUCUCCAGGGUUGUUACCUUGCAGGGAGACUGGAGCAGUCAGAGAAUCUGGGGAGUUAUAGCUAGGACCCAAACAGCAGGGCGGGUAACUCAAACAGGAAUGUGGAUUGUUAUCUGUAGAUCCUGUAAAGAUCGAGGGUCCUCUCACUCCCCACACAAACAGGAUCCCAUUAAAGCUGGGGCUGAGGAGGCAGUCAUUGUGACAGUAACAGAGUGAGAGAAGCAGGGAAUAGUCAGACUAACAGUAUCCCAGACUAACUCACAGAAACCGAAACGGUCAUCCCACCUCACUAUUGAUUAUACCUCCCUCAGUAAAUCCGCCACUGAACAGUAUCCUACAGUAGCGAACCACACCACUUCAGUUAAUGGAUUAAAAUUGCAACAGGAUACAGUCUCAGCCCUUGAUAUUGUGAAUGGCUUCCUGUAGACCUGGAACAGCAGAAUAAGCUGGUAUUUACUGUCUGAGGAAAGCAGUAGACCUGGAUCCAAUUACCUCAGGGAUCCCAUAAUAUUCCAGUAUAUCCCACUGAUACAUGGCUGAUGGAGUUCGUCAAUUUAAUCUUACCAACACCUCAUUACCUCAGUUGGAGAGAAAGAACAUACCCAGAUAUCACACAGAGUAUUGUGUUGGAUCAGGCAGGCCGGGCUUAAAAUUAACCCACAGAACGUGGGAAGGUAGGGGGAGACGUACCUGGGACAUCACAUCAGGGCGAUCAAAUCAGGAAGGAAGGAGGACAAUCCCAGUGUAACGAAAGAUCAUGAUUUCAAAACUAUACACCCACACACCGUGAAGGAGAUAAGGCAAACUUUAGGAUUGUUCAAUUAUUGGAGGACUUUUGUCGAGAAUUACCCAGAAAUGGCAGAACCAUCACGAGCCCUGACAGAAGCACUGACAUUAGUCAGGGAGUCAGCACAUACACAGACAGACAGCAUGCCUUUGGUAUAGUUCAUGACCAAUUGAUAGCCUGGGCUUGGUGGGGCACAUAGAGCAUGAAGGACAGAUCAGAGAGUUUGUGGAAGCAGCUAACUUUCCCAGUGAAGCAGCAAUAAUGAAGAUUAUAGCUCACAGGAAAGUAGAAACCCCACACUAACAGGGCAGUGAGUAUGUGGGGAAGGCGGGUGAAUAGACAAUAGAUGCAGGAGUAGGCAGUUCUGCCCUUCAAGACAGCACCACCGUUCAUUAUGAUGAUGGAUGAUCAUCCUCAAUCAGUAUCCUGUUCCUGUCUUAUCCCUAUAACCCUUGAUUCCACGAUGCUUAAUAGCUCUAUGCAACUCUUUCUUGAAAGUAUCCAGAGACUUGGCCCCCACAGCCUUCUGGGGCAGAGCAUUCCAUCCCACUACUCUCUGGGUGAAGGAGUUUCUCCUCAAUCUGUUCGAAGUGGCCUACCCCUUAUUUUAAAACUGUGCCCUCUAGUUCGGGACUCACCCAUCAGCGGAAACAUGCUUCCAGCCUCCAGAAUGUCCAGUCUUUUAAUAAUCUUAUAUGUGAAAUACUGACUGAAACAGUGAAGACAUUCGAGGAGAUGGCAAUGGGCAUAGCUACAGAAGUGAGAGAGGAAGGUUGAAAGAUAUUCCCAGAAACAGUCCCACAACAGGAGAAACAGGAAUGGGAAAAGGGUGGGGCAAUAAUAGGACAAGACAGAGUCUGGAUGAUCCAACAGUGCCACCACACUGUAUAAGACAAACAUUAUUAAAAACAUAUCAUGGGCUGAACCAUAUGGGGCAGGAUACAAUGCAAUAGCAGAUGAUCCACGACAAUCCUUGCCUAGAACAGGGAGCAAGGUUUUGUCGAAGGGGUGCAGUGUGUUCACAGUGUGAGCCAGGGAAAGCAAUCAGGAUAAAAUGGAGGCAGCAGCAGGGACCCAGGGGCCCAUGGGAACAAUUACAGAUGGAUUUGACACACGCACACACCCAUCCCAGUCCCAGGGAAGGAAGUCCUACUGGGUUUUAAUAAAUAGGUUUACUCAUUGGGUGGAAGCAUUCCCCUGCAGAUUAUGACCAAGGGACAAAUGUUACAGGGAACAUAGCUAAAGAGCUAUGUGCCCUGUUUGGUACUGAACAGAAAUCCCAUCCCCAUACCACCCCCAGAGCUCUGGGACAGUAGAAGGAAUGACGCAGACACUGACAGCUAGUCUGACUAAGGCUCUCUCAGAGACAGGACAGCGAUGGGUUAGAGUACUCCACACCAGCCUAAUGAAACUGAGGACAACCCCAGCAAAGGGUAUGGGGCUGUCCCCCUUUGAAUUAGUGACUGGAUGGACUAUGCAGAUGCCACAGGGUGUGGUAGUGGGAGGGCCGGAGAUGUGUGGUAGUGGGACAGCCGGAGAUGUUUGGUAGUGGGACAGCCGGAGAUGUUUGGUAGUGGGAGGGCCAGAGAUGUGUGGUAGUGGGAGGGCUGGAGAUGUGUGGUAGUGGGAGGGCUGGAGAUGUGCAAUGACAAGGAUAGGGUUAAACCAUUUGUGAAAGAACUGGCAAAGCAGCUGCAUGGGCUGAGAGAAUCAGAGACUGUGAAACGGAACACGGAAAUAUCCGAGCUGACAUUCCAAACCCUGGAGUUCAGGUCAGGGGGAAAAUAUUACUGGAACGUAUGAAAUCAACACAUCAAAAUGCUGGAGUUAUCUGGGGGAGCCAGAGAGAGACCUCUCCCAUCAUGCAUUAGUAAGGAGCUCUGAAUAAACGUUGGUCAUGCUGCUCUUCACAGAACUCAAGGCUCCUCUUUGAUAUUUCUCCCAGCAACAGUUGUGCAGGGGCAUGUUGCUGGCUGGAGGUCUAUGGCUAGUGCUGUUCCACAAGGAUCAGACCUGGGCCAUCUGUUGUUUGUAAUGUAUGUAAAUGAGAAGUUUGGAAAUGUAAAAGAUUUAAUGAGCAAGUUUGUAGAUGGCACAAACUGUUGAAGUUGUGAAUCGUGAAGAAUGAUGUCAAAGGAUACAGCAAGAAAGAGAUGAGUCAGAAAGUUUUGUGGAGAAAUUGCAGAUAUAUUUUAAUUCAGACAAGUGUGAGGUGAUGCGUUUUGGAAGACACAUAGCAAGAGGAAUGUAUACAAUAAACGGAAGGGCCCUGAGCAGCACUGAUAUACAGAUGGAUCUUCAGUUGCAAGCUGAAAGAUCCCUGAAAGUGGUGAAGGAGGUGAAUAGCAGGGCUUGCCUCCUUCUGUCAGGGAAGUGAAUAUAAACCUAGAAUCAGGCCACCUUUGGGGAAUUGUGUGCCGUUUUGAUCACCUUAUUAUAGGUAGAAUGUGAAGGGUUUUGGGAAGGUGGAAACAGGUUUACCAGGAUGUUGCCUGGAUUGGGAUAGGUUGGAAAAUCUUGGAUUGUUGUCUUUGGAAAAUCAAUGGCUGUGGGGUGACCCAACUGGCACAGACAGAGUUUGUAAACCAUGGUUUACUCCAGAAAUUGAAUCUCUUGUUAAGAAGAAGAAAGAGGCUUAUGUGUUGAUGAGGCAAAAUGGUACAGAUGAAGCAAUAGAGAGUUACAGAUCAGCUAGGAAGGAUUUAAAGAGAGAGUUUAAAAAAAAAAGGGAGGACAAGAGCAGUCUUUAGCAAACAGAAUAAAGGAUAACCCUGAAAUUUUCCAUAGGUAUGUGAAGAAUAAAAGGAUGAUUAGGGUAGGAAUAUGGCUAAUCAAAGACAGAAGUGGGAAGUUGAGUGUGGACCGUGCAGAGAUCGGAGAAGUGCUAAAUGAACAUUCUUCAUAGGUGUUUACACAGGAAAAGGGGAAUAUUGUAGAGGACAAAACUUGGUACGAGAUAUUAGACUAGAAAGGAUUGAGGUUAGUUACACACAGGUGUUAUCAAUACUAGAAGGAGUGAAAGUAGACAAGUCCCCAUGGGGUUUAUCCGAGGAUUUUCUGGGAAGCUAUGGAGGAGCUAGCAGAGCCUUUGGCUUUGAUAUUUGAGUCAUCAUUGUCAAUGGGUUUAGUACUCGAGGACUGGAGGAUUGCAAAUGUUGUGCCCUUUUUCAAGAAGGGCAGCAGAGAUGACCCAGGUAAUUAUAGACCAGUGAGCCUUCCUUCCAUUGUAGGAAAGGUUUUGGAAAGGAUUAUAAGAGAUAACAGUUAUAAUCAUCUAACAAGCUCCCAUUGUCUUACCUCCCCUCCAUAUUAGCAUAGGUAAGUGAAUUCCCCAUUUACUGAAGGAAGAACCCUCCAGCCUUAAUCUCUUCCCAUCAACACAUAAUCAUGAACAUUACGAUAAUCAGUUUCUGUAAUCCAUUAAUACGUUAUCACAGGACAUCGCCAUUCAUCAAGCUUUGUAAGGUCAUAAUUACCUGCUUUAAACUAUGUAAUGACAAUCGCCCAUGUGACUGAUAUGCCUUUGUCUAAUUCCUAUUAAAUAUACUGUCUCUGUGGGUAAGGCAGAGAUUCAUGAAGAAGAGUCUCUACAAGUAGGCACUUUGCUACUUUAGAGAUGCUUUAAAACUCUCGCCGGCUGUCCGAUAAUAAAGCUACUACUGUUGUGCAGAAAA